CCCAGUAAACGGCGGCCGUAACUAUAACGGUCCUAAGGUAGCGAAAUUCCUUGUCAGGUAAGUUCUGACCCGCAUGAAAGGCGUAAUGAUCUGGGCACUGUCUCAACAGCCCGCCCGGCGAAAUUGUAGUACCGGUGAAGAUGCCGGUUACCCGCGACAAGACGGAAAGACCCCAUGGAGCUUUACUGUAGCCUGAUAUUGGGUUUCGGUGUUGCAUGCACAGGAUAGAUGGGACGCUAGGAAGGCAGUGCUUUGGCAUUGCUGGAGCGGACGUUGGGAUACCAUCCUUGCGACAUUGGAAUUCUAACCUGCGCCUUUGAAUCAAGGCGGGGGACAUUGUUAGGUGGGCAGUUUGACUGGGGCGGUCGCCUCCUAAAAAGUAGCGGAGGCGUUCAAAGGUUCGUUCGAUCUGGACGGAAACCAGAUGAUUGAGUGCAAACGCAUAAACGAGCCUGACUGCGAGACUGACGGGUCGAGCAGAGACGAAAGUCGGAGUUAGUGAUCCGGUGGUAUGUGAGUGGAAAUGCCAUCGCUCAACGGAUAAAAGUUACCCUGGGGAUAACAGGCUGAUCUCCCCCAAGAGUCCACAUCGACGGGGAGGUUUGGCACCUCGAUGUCGGCUCAUCGCAUCCUGGGGCUGAAUUCGGUCCCAAGGGUUUGGCUGUUCGCCAAUUAAAGCGGUACGCGAGCUGGGUUCAGAACGUCGUGAGACAGUUCGGUCCCUAUCUGUCGUGGGCGCAGGAUAUUUGAGGAGCGCUGUCCUUAGUACGAGAGGACCGGGAUGGACGCACCGCUGGUGCACCAGUUGUCACGCCAGUGGCACAGCUGGGCAGCUAUGUUCGGAUCGGAUAAACGCUGAAAGCAUCUAAGCGUGAAGCCGGCCUUAAGAUAAGAUAUCCCACUGAGUCAAUCAGGUAAGACCCCUUGAAGACUACAAGGUUGAUAGGCACACAGUGUAAGCGGAGUGAUCCGUUCAGCUAGCGUGUACUAAUAGGUCGAGGGCUUGACCC
rnacentral:rRNA from 1 species